rnacentral:rRNA from 1 species
GACGAACGCUGGCGGCGUGCCUAAUACAUGCAAGUCGAGCGGACUUUCAAGAAGCUUGCUUUUUGAAAGUUAGCGGCGGACGGGUGAGUAACACGUGGGCAACCUGCCUGCAAGACGGGGAUAACUCCGGGAAACCGGGGCUAAUACCGGAUAAUAUCUUCCUUCGCAUGAAGGAAGGUUGAAAGGCGGCGCAAGCUGCCGCUUGCAGAUGGGCCCGCGGCGCAUUAGCUAGUUGGUGAGGUAACGGCUCACCAAGGCGACGAUGCGUAGCCGACCUGAGAGGGUGAUCGGCCACACUGGGACGGAGAAACGGCCCAGACUCCUACGGGAGGCAGCAGUAGGGAAUCUUCCGCAAUGGACGAAAGUCUGACGGAGCAACGCCGCGUGAGCGAAGAAGGUCUUCGGAUCGUAAAGCUCGGUUGUCAGGGAAGAACAAGUACCGUUCGAACAGGGCGGUACCUUGACGGUACCUGACCAGAAAGCCACGGCUAACUACGUG